rnacentral:rRNA from 1 species
UACGUAGGCAGCAAGCGUUGUUCGGAAUUACUGGGCGUAAAGAGUGUGUAGGCGGUGUUCCAAGUCUGGUGUGAAAUCUCCCGGCUUAACUGGGGGGGGGCAUUAGAAACUGGAAUGCUAGAGGAUGGGAGAGGUAAGCGGAAUUCCUGGUGUAGCGGUGAAAUGCGUAGAUAUCAGGAGGAACACCUGUGGUGUAGACAGCUUACUGGACCAUUUCUGACGCUGAGACACGAAAGCGUGGGUAGCAAACAGG